rnacentral:rRNA from 1 species
UACGUAGGGUGCAGGCGUUAAUCGGAAUUACUGGGCGUAAAGCGUGCGCAGGCGGCUUUGCAAGACAGAUGUGAAAUCCCCGGGCUCAACCUGGGAACUGCAUUUGUGACUGCAUGGCUGGAGUGCGGCAGAGGGGGAUGGAAUUCCGCGUUUAGCAGUGAAAUGCGUAGAUAUGCGGAGGAACACCGAUGGCGAGGGCAAUCCCCUGGGCCUGCACUGACGCUCAUGCACGAAAGCGUGGGGAGCAAACAGG